rnacentral:rRNA from 1 species
UUUUAUUAUGAGAGUUUGAUCCUGGCUCAGGACGAACGCUGGCGGCGUGCCUAAUACAUGCAAGUCGAACGCUUCUUUCUUCCCGAGUGCUUGCACUCA